rnacentral:rRNA from 1 species
AUAGGAUUUUCCCUUCGGGGGCAUGGGUGCCAGGUGGUGCAUGGUUGUCGUCAGUUCGUGUCGGGAGAUGUUGGGUUAAGUCCCGCAACGAGCGCAACCCUUAUUUUUAGUUGCCAUCAUUUAGUUGGGCACUUUAAGGAGACUGCCGGUGACAAACCGGAGGAAGGUGGGGAUGACGUCAAAUCAUCAUGCCCCUUAUGACCUGGGUUACACACGUGUUACAAUGGACGAUACAAAGAGUCGCAAACUC